rnacentral:rRNA from 1 species
UUAAAAAGCUCGUAGUUGGAUUUCGGAGUGGGCCAGUUGGUCCGCCGCAAGGUGUGUUACUGACUGGCUUGCUCUUCUUCGCAAAGACUGCGUGUGCUCUUGAGUGAGUGUGCGUAGGAUUUACGACGUUUACUUUGAAAAAAUUAGAGUGUUCAAAGCAGGCUAUUGCUUGAAUACAUGAGACAUGGAAUAAUGGAAUAGGACUUUGGUCCCAUUUUGUUGGUUUCUAGGGCCGAAGUAAUGAUUAAGAGGGACAAUUGGGGGC